GGUAGAGCUUGCCUGGCACGGGGGAGGCACUGGGUUGCAUUCUAAGCACUGCAUACAAAUAAAUAAUAAAAUAGAAGCCCCUCAACAACUAAAAAAUACAUAUUUAAAAAAAAUGUAAAACAGAAAGGUUUAAAUUCAGCUUCACAGUAUGCUUUUUUCCCUCGUAUUACUGGCACUGAACCUAGGUAGGGGUGCUUUACCACUGAGCCACAUUCCCAGUCCUUUUUCUACUUUUUAUUUUGAGGCAGGGUCUCACUAAGUUGCUCAGGAUGCCCUCAAACUGUGAUCCUCCUGCCUCAGCCUCUGGAGUCGCUGGGAUGACAGGCCUGCACCUUGAAGGCAUGGCCCGCUAAUGACAUGCACUAUUUAACAGAAAACAUGCAAAGCAUUGUUAUUUAAACGUGUGACUGAUACAUAGAAACAGUUAACAAGAACGGUUAUUUUCUUCCUUUCAGAUCAAGGGUCUGAAAUCCACUGUGGGCUCAGGGGUACGGCCACUGGGUCCUGGAGGACAGCUCAGGGUUCCCUUCUGCGGGUUCACUUCCUGGGCGCUCUUGGCCAGCCCUUCCUCUCUCGGCCACGGUGACGCCGCACCUCCAUCUCGGUGUCUGACCACUGUCCCAGUCCAAAGCCCAGGUGUGGAAGUAUCUCAGUCCCUGUGCCUCUCGGGCUUCUGGGCGUGAUCUGGGGCAGUGUUUUCAUCUUACGUUUUGAGAUGGCGUCUGGCUGUGUUACCCAGGAUGGCCUUAACCUCCUUAGCUCAAGCCCUCCUCCCGCUCAGCCCCCUACUAGGUGGGACUGCAGACACGGGCACCACACCUGGCUUGGGCACUGCUUGCUGUCACACGGACAGCCUGUGUUUCAGGGUCCCAAGACCACCCUAGACAUGAUUUGCUGGGAGGACCCCUAUUGCAUAGGCAGUCAAGAAUCAAGAUCCCCUCUGGUCAGGGAGGGUGGGCAGUCCUGGCAGCCCAAGUCCCCGAUCCUGCUGCCAACCUUCUGAAGAUGUGGCCGCAGGCCUGCAUUAUGG
rnacentral:lncRNA from 1 species